AAUCAUGGCUCAGGAUGAACGCUAGCUACAGGCUUAACACAUGCAAGUCGAGGGGCAGCAUGAUUGAAGCUUGCUUCAAUUGAUGGCGACCGGCGCACGGGUGAGUAACACGUAUCCAACCUGCCGAUAACUCGGGGAUAGCCUUUCGAAAGAAAGAUUAAUACCCGAUAGUAUAGUAUUUCCGCAUGGUUUCACUAUUAAAGAAUUUCGGUUAUCGAUGGGGAUGCGUUCCAUUAGAUAG
rnacentral:rRNA from 1 species